rnacentral:rRNA from 1 species
UGGUGGAGUGAUUUGUCUGGUUAAUUCCGUUAACGAACGAGACCUCAGCCUACUAAAUAGUCGGAGGAAUAUUCUUAUUCCUUUUCGACUUCUUAGAGGGACAUUCGGUUUCUAGCCGAAGGAAGUUUGAGGCAAUAACA